UGCCUUCUGGCCCACCUAGUGGUUCGAGAUUACACCCAGCUGGCUACCCAAUACCCAGGGUGCCAUUUUCACCGUUUCCUGGUGGUCCUCCUUCUCAGCCAUAUGCUAUUCCAACUCGUGGACCUGUUGGUACUGGUCGUGGAAGUUCAGUUGGGGGCCACCUUCCCCACCAACAAGCCACCCAGCAUAAUGUUGGAACUAUUGGCCCUAAUGUGAACUUCCCCCUUGAUAGUCCAAAUAGCCAGCCUUCACCUGGUGGUCCGCUAUCCCAACCUGGAUAUGUAAGUAUCGCCCUCAUCUCUUUUAAUUUUUUUCUUUCAUCUAGUAGUUUCUGAAGCAUUAGAGCUCGAUUGUUUUUGGUUGACUUUAAAUCAUCAUACGAUGUUGCCUUUUCAGGGAAGCCAAGCAUUCAGGGAUGGUUUUAUGGGCGGCAUUUCUCAGGUUGUCUUCUCGUUUUAUGUUACUUAGUGAUCAGUGGCAGUGUUUUCUACUUUUUGUCUGUUAUUUAAUAUCUUCUAUGUCAAUACCACCAGGAUUUCUUAGGUGAUGAUUUCAAGAGCCAGGGAUCUCAUGUUCCUUACAACAUGGGCGACUAUUCUACACAGGUAGUUUCUCUUCUGCCUGCUUUAGUUAUUAGACAUGUAAAUACUUUGGAUAUAUGAUAGUAGGACUACGAUAAGAUGUCUUUGGAAAUGUAAAACCAAAAUUCCGAGGUUGGGCCAGAUAUAUAUAACCAUGUGUUGCAAAGUUGAUAGUUCUUGAAUUUCACAUAGGAAUUACUGACUGUUCAUGUUUUUUGUAUAUGUUCUUCGUUUCUGAGCCAUAUUUGUAUAUAAUUUCUUUGUGGCAGUGUUUUCUACUUUUUGUCUGUUAUUUAAUAUCUUCUAUGUCAAUACCACCAGGAUUUCUUAGGUGAUGAUUUCAAGAGCCAGGGAUCUCAUGUUCCUUACAACAUGGGCGACUAUUCUACACAGGUAGUUUCUCUUCUGCCUGCUUUAGUUAUUAGACAUGUAAAUACUUUGGAUAUAUGAUAGUAGGACUACGAUAAGAUGUCUUUGGAAAUGUAAAACCAAAAUUCCGAGGUUGGGCCAGAUAUAUAUAACCAUGUGUUGCAAAGUUGAUAGUUCUUGAAUUUCACAUAGGAAUUACUGACUGUUCAUGUUUUUUGUAUAUGUUCUUCGUUUCUGAGCCAUAUUUGUAUAUAAUUUCUUUGUAUGCCUCACAGGGAGGAUAUGCGGUUGAUUAUGCCACACAAGGAGCCCAUGGAGCUUUUCCUGGAAACUUUAUGAACCAGAAUUCUCAAGGGGGUUAUUCUCGUUUCAGUGGGAGUAAUGAUUUCAUGUCCCAGGUGUGUUUCACCUAGCCUUUCCUUUUAACACUUUUUUUUUCUUAAUUCUUAGACCUUCGUCUGAGUCCUCUAUUACCGACACAGGAGUAUAUGCCGCAUGGAGCACAAGGUCUUUUCACCCAAGCUGGCUUUAUCGACUACAAACCGUGCGUUUUCAACGGAAGUCCCGUCGACGAUCGAUUCGAGUUUCGUGGAGGCAUGGAAGAAAGUCGCACCGAACAUGGACCCGCCGCAGACUCCUUCUUCCUUCAUGAAGCCUCGUCCAUCGACUGCUUCCUCGAUUCCGACGAUAGUUCGUUUGCAUUAACGUUUACAAUUAACAAAAAAGGAGGAUUCUUAAGAUAGCGAAGGUUGUGUGUUUAUAUAGAGAGAAUUACACACUAAACAUUAACCCAAACUCAUACAAACAAUUGAGGCCUUUCGAGUUUGUGUUCACCAUAUUAAUCUUUGGUACUCAUGUUUCUUUUCAAAAGAUGCUAACGACUCUUCGUCUCACAGGGUCUCCCGAAUUCACUCUACUCGCAGCCUUUCUCACACUACACCCAGCCACUAAACCUUUCAGGCCCACAGCAAUCUCAACCUCCUAACCAAGGCUCACAAAACCCAAAACCUCCUCACAACGGCUAAAGAUGACACAUGCAGAAGCUGAAUGCAAACGGGUUUGUAAACCUUUUUUUUUGCAAAUUCAGCAGUUUGGUAUCAUGCUAUCACGGCUCCAAACAAACAUCUGGUGGCUUCUCGGGGUGCUUGCAAGUUACGUGCCUUUCUGGCUCGCUUAGCAACAGGUAAUGAUGAUGCAGAGAGACAUGUACCUAAGUAACCCGAGGAGAUUCUUGGUCCAUACAUCCUCUGGGCUUAUAUAAAUGUUUGGUUUUGCCGUGUAAUAUUAUAAUAUCAUCCUCUUAUUGUAGUCUAUAUCUGAAGCUACCCUUAGUUAAAAAUCGGUGUUGGUGUCUGGUGAUAUUGAUAUGAGUACUGCAAACUCUCUUGCCUUUAUUUAUUUUUUUCUGGAUAUUUCGCUUAAUGCGUGUCUGAAUUAUUGUUUCUGCUUCCGUGGUAUUUAUUAUAUGAUCAUCUAUGAGAUAUGUGCAAGUUUUGGUUCCAGAUAGUGUCCUAUGGGGAUUGUCCAAUCGGUUUUGGGUAUCGGACAUAUUAACACCGACUUUCUUAGGUUUGUUACGGUUUCAGGAAGUACCGCUCGUGGAACCAUCCAUACAAGCAUCGGAUUCUACCCCGGGUGUGAUCCCACAAAGUUUGGUGUUACAUUUUUUUUUUCUCUGUGUCUCGGAAGGAAUAUAUCAAAAUAAAAUGUAAGUUUUCACAGAAAAAACGGUAUAUUAUUUUCAUCAUAUUGUGCGUAUUUUUGGCUUUGGUGAAGGUUAUUAGUCCAGAAAGGACAAAGCCCAUUUGGGUUGGUUUUGGACACGAAAGGGAUUGUGCAGCAUUGGCAAAUAGUGGUUAACGUUCGUCUAUCUGGUCUGGUGUUCCUUGUGAGGACCGUAGUUGGGCCCAAAUAUCAUAAAGAAACACACGAAACACUCUCCGUUUUUGGUUUUGAUCCCAGACAGACAAGAACACUCUCUCAUGUAUGGCAAAUGCCCUCCCUCUUUAAAUCAAAUAACGGACAGGAAGCAGUUGCGGCCCUGGGUAUAAGCAUUAGAAACAUCUGAUUCCGGCCGUUGAUAAUUAACAAAAUUUUCAGCCUAUUUAUAAAAUAUGCCAGUAGGUUAGAUGAUCAAACUAGCUAACAAAUCCCUCCAUAAUAAAAUUUUGGGUUUCUAGUCUUUGUUUUUGUAGAGCUUUUUACUGCUGGGCCUGAGUAGAAAUCAAGAAACAUAAAUAGAUAGAAAUGUGAGAUGUCCAGGACUUUAUGCCUGCUCUCUCUCUCUCUCUUUCUCGAGUCACUCUCAAAAUCUGGUUCGGGUUAGGUUAUAGACAUUUUAUGUGGAACUCAAAAACUGAGAUAGGAUCAAUACUUUUAAAAAUCUAUGCAUUUCUUAUUUUCCAAAACCCAAACAAACAAACCAAACGAAUAUUUUAAUUUUACUGAAAGUAUUAUUUGUAUUUAAUUUUAAAAUAAUUAUAUAUAAAUAUAGUUUAUAAUUAAAACAAGUACAUUUAUAUAUUUUUUUCAGCUACUAGCCAAUUCUCGAUAUUUUUAGCAAAAUCGAACUGAAUUCUGUAGAAACCCUGUCUAAACCUGAAAGCACCGACAGUGCCGGCUCAAUAGGGAGUGCGGCCGGUGCGACCGCCCCGGGUCCGGUUCAAAUCUUACAAUAUUAGGGGCCCUAAUUAUUUAAUUAGCAUAUCUGAUUUAGAUUUAAACAGUAUUAAAACGAUGUAUCAUAAUUUUUUCUAGUUAAAUUAUCAAAGAGAAUAUACAUGUUUGAUGCUCGAGUCGAAAUUUCAGGAAAUUUUUUUACCAACGUUAAAAAAUUAACUUACUAUAGGGGCUUUAAAAUUCUUUUUGCCCAAGGGCCCUUCUAUAUAUUAAGCCGGCCCUGAGCACCGAAAACCAUAAACUCGAACUGGAACCAAACUAUAAUGCCCUCUGCCUAAAUCAAACACUGAAAAUCUGAAACUUUGUAACCCAUUUGCUACUUGUGUUACAGGCUUCACGGUACACAGAUAUAUCCUAUUGAUUAAAUAGUGGGCUUUAAGACAAGGCCUUUCCAGUUUUUGUGGGCCGAAACUGAAAAUAAAAUGCUACACUUGCCCACCAGCGAACGUGAACAUCAGAGUCACAGAUAACAACACUUGAGAGAGUUAUCAGAAAGAGUUCCCUAUCGACACUCUCUCUCUCUCUCUCUUCCUCUCAGCAUCAUCAUCACCACCAAAUCGCCGCCAUGUUCAGACAAGCUUCUCGCCUCGUCUCCCGAUCUAUCACCGCCAAAUCGGCGACAAACCGUGCGUUUUCAACGGAAGUCCCGUCGACGAUCGAUUCGAGUUUCGUGGAGGCAUGGAAGAAAGUCGCACCGAACAUGGACCCGCCGCAGACUCCUUCUUCCUUCAUGAAGCCUCGUCCAUCGACUGCUUCCUCGAUUCCGACGAAGCUCACCGUCAAUUUCGUCCUCCCUUACGCAUCUGAGCUUUCCGGGAAAGAGGUCGGCUUUCAUUUUUCCUCGUUCGAUGUUCGCAUUUAGGUUUCUAGGGUUUGAUCUAUGACUCUGUGUGUUAUGGUUACAUAUUUGAUUGUUGUUUGAUUUCAUGAUAAGGUGGUUAAUUAGGUCUGAAGACUUUUGAUUUUUGGUUAGAUCUAACGGCGCUAAAGUUUAGGGUUUUGAUAGGCCAAAGCUGAAACUGGCGCAGUUGAUGUUUCGUUUAGUUUCUACAUAAUUGUUAAUAACAAGAUCAAGAACAAAAAAAAAAGCCUCACUUUUUAGUGAUUAAGAAUAACCUAAAUCUCCCUAAUUUCUCAGGUUUACCAUUUGUUGUCUCUGCAAAAUGUUGCUUGCUAUAAAUCCAUUAAAAUUUUAUUAAGAGUUUUGUUAUCUCUGCUCUGUUCAUAACCAAAUGAUCCUGGUGUGUUUUUUACGGUUUCUAAUACAAUGUGAUUGGCAAAUAAUGUUUGUUUCAUAUAUCUUGAAACUUUGAUGUUGACAAAUUAUAACUGCUGAUUUCUAAUGUGUUAAUUGGUUUUGUGAAGGUUAAUCUUUUCUCUUCUAUUGAUAUAUGAUGUGGUAUACAUAUAGACUGAAUCUCCAUGGCAAGUAGUAAUUUCUCAUUGGCUUAUUCUCAUAUGUUGGUGGUGCAUUCACUGUGAUAUCUCUUCUGUAGAAUAUACAUUCAGUACUGAAAGUUCUUAUCGUCCCUGACUUGCUUUCUGAUGCAUCCAUUGCUUAUAUCCGAGAACGUAAACCUAUUUCUUGAUUGGUUUGUUUUCUUGUAUAUAUUUAAUUAUAACUCAAAGCUUAUUGGCUUUUUCUCUUUUGUCUACUUCAAGGUCGACAUGGUCAUCAUUCCCGCGACAACAGGACAAAUGGGUGUUUUGCCUGGACACGUUCCAACAAUCGCUGAGCUCAAACCCGGUAUCAUGUCCGUCCACGAAGGUACUGACAUCAAGAAAUACUUUGUGAGCAGUGGAUUUGCAUUUCUCCACGCAAAUUCCGUUGCUGACAUUAUCGCGGUUGAGGCCGUGCCGCUUGAGAACAUCGACGCAAGCCAAGUCCAAAAGGGUUUAGCUGAGUUUACACAGAAACUUGCUUCUGCCACAACAGAUCUUGAGAAAGCAGAAGCACAGAUUGGUGUCGAAGUUCACAGUGCUAUGAACGCAGCUCUCUCGGGCUGAUGAUGAGUGAAAGUCUCUUUUUUACUACUACAAAUGAUGGAAUAAAUUAGAAAAUGAUUUUAUUUUUCCUUUUCGUAAUUGUGUUGGACUUUUUGGAAUAAAUGAUUUUGUUGAAGGCACAAACCAACAGAAAGUUAUUAUUCUUCUCGACUUAUGUUUGUUUUGAGAUUGAGAAACUAAGUUCCCGAAUUGAUUUAUGGUUUUCAUUUCCUAAAAUUCUUUUUUUCUCACUUUGGGCCAUUUUUGCAAUGUCACUUCAGAACGAUUAAAAAUUGUUGGUUUUUCUUGUUGAUUUUGAAACUCUCUCGAAGUGACAAUAUUAGUGUUUUACAGUGACCUAGAAAUAAUAUGAUUUUUAAAAUAUCGAACAACUCAUAUCAUGAUUAACAUAUCAUACUGUACGUAGGCUGGGACGGAUCCAGAUAUUCGGAAAAUUUAAUAUCCGGAUUUCGGAUAUCCGUCUCGAUAUUUUAUUACCCGCGGAUAUCCGGAUCCGUAAAAAUAAUUAAAAAUAAUAUUUUUUUUUAAAACUAAAAUUUUAAUAUAAUAUAUAAACCUGUUGGUACUGGUCGUGGAAGUUCAGUUGGGGGCCACCUUCCCCACCAACAAGCCACCCAGCAUAAUGUUGGAACUAUUGGCCCUAAUGUGAACUUCCCCCUUGAUAGUCCAAAUAGCCAGCCUUCACCUGGUGGUCCGCUAUCCCAACCUGGAUAUGUAAGUAUCGCC
rnacentral:lncRNA from 1 species